AUGAGUCUCACGUAUAUACAUCCGUCAGUGCUCGAGCUAGCAACCAAGUUGAGCAAGUCGUCGUGGCCGGAGCUAGUGGGCAUCCUGGCGUCGCUGGCGGCGACGCAGAUCGCGCACGACAGGCCCGCCGCCGCCAUCGAGGUGCUCCCGACCGGCGUGCCGGUGACUCCCGACUACAACCUCGAGCGUGUCCGCGUCUUCAUCGACCUUAACGGCAUCGUAGCCAAGACCCCCGUCAUCGGAUAG
rnacentral:rRNA from 1 species